AGGAAGCAGCAGCCUCCAGAAACGAGCCACAGUCCCCUCACCCCAACUCUCAAGGAAAAAGAUCCCCCGAUUGCCAACUGCAAAUUCCAGCAAGGCGCUCGUGCCGCGGGUAGAUCAUUGGGAGAAAUGUAUCUCUGGCCAGCUGCCCCCCCGGAUAGGUUCCUCUCCGCGCACAGACACUGCUGCAAAGCCAAUAGAUUAGUUGAUGCGGAGCCGUAGGUAGCCGCUCUCCAUCAUCACACCUGGGUGUCCCAACGUGAGAGCUCGGGAAGCCUCAGCCUGGGUGACUUGAACAAGGUGGUUCCUCUCUCCUCGCAUUUCCUCGCUCUCUUUGAUCCCUUUGCACCACGAGCGCCCCUUUUUUUGAUUGUUGCGCUGCAGCUCGAGCCUUCAAUCUUCCCCAGGAUCCAACAGCCUCCUGUUCGCUUCCAGCUUUAAAAGGAGGCAAAGCAAAUCGCUGGGAAGAGACCCGGAAUCACUUGGGUAACAACGGCACAUUUUGCAUUCUGUCACCGAGCAAGGCAUCAAAAGCGAAGAGGAGGAUUUAACUCCUUAACCGCCGCACGAUUUUUCGGUCUGGCUUUGUGUGUGUGUGGCGUGUGCCCGAGAAGAAAACCAUGCCCGAUGCUGACUGGAUCCGGGAAGAGAAUACAACUCAGCUGACAUCUUUUCACGACAGAGGCAGCAAGAAGGCUCAGAAUCAGAAUGUUCUGUGGCAAAAUCUCACUCAGUAGACGGGAAGGAGAAAAGAGAGAGACCAGCAGGUUGGGGGGGCUGGAUAUCACACUGCCAAACAUUUGCAUGGAUUUGAAGACCACACUGUCUGUAAAAGUUGAUGGAGCCCAAGGAGGAACAAAACAGGGACAAUUGAAGCAUAUUCUUCUCAAGCAGAACAACACUUCUGUGGCGAGAGCUGAAGGAAAUGCAUUGUUUUGAUUGGAAUAUUUUUUCAUUAAC